rnacentral:lncRNA from 1 species
CUUUUUUUAAAUGACUUAGAAGAUUUUCUAUGUCAAAGAAAAUGUGAUUGGUCUACAAACAGUAAGCAAAGACAUUGAAACAAAGUUAGAUAUUUAUUUAAAUUUAUUUGCUAUACUUUAUGCUGAUGACACGAUCAUACUUGCCGAAACGGCGACUGAUCUCCAGGCCUCCUUAAAUAAAUUCAAUACGUAUUGUAACAUAUGGGGACUCAAGGUGAACGUUGAAAAAACAAAGAUAGUAGUUUUUACAAAGGGAAGAUUACAAAAGAAUUUAAUGUUUAAAUACAAUAACUCAAAUAUCGAUAUUGUUAAAGACUUUAAUUAUUUAGGGGUAUAUUUUUCAAGAACUGGGAGUUUUAAAACGGGCAAACUUCAUUUGGCAGAAAAGGCUACUAACGCAAUGUACG